rnacentral:rRNA from 1 species
GACGAACGCUGGCGGCGUGCUUAACACAUGCAAGUCGAACGAUGAAGCUGGAGCUUGCUCCGGUGGAUUAGUGGCGAACGGGUGAGUAACACGUGAGCAAUCUGCCCUUGACUCUGGGAUAACUGCGGGAAACUGUAGCUAAUACCGGAUACGAGACCUGAAGGCAUCUUCGGGUCUGGAAAGAAUUUCGGUCAAGGAUGAGCUCGCGGCCUAUCAGCUUGUUGGUGAGGUAAUGGCUCACCAAGGCGACGACGGGUAGCCGGCCUGAGAGGGUGACCGGCCACACUGGGACUGAGACACGGCCCAGACUCCUACGGGAGGCAGCAGUGGGGAAUAUUGCACAAUGGGCGAAAGCCUGAUGCAGCAACGCCGCGUGAGGGAUGAAGGCCCUCGGGUUGUAAACCUCUCUUAGCAGGGAAGAAGCGAAAGUGACGGUACCUGCAGAAAAAGCACCGGCUAACUACGUGCCAGCCGCCGCGGUAA